AGUGAUAGUGUAAUGCGUGUAUGGUCAAUAAUGAAACCAAAGGGUUCCUGAAGAGCAAGCAGCUAGGCCAUUGGAUCAAAUCUCUCUGCCUCUGAGAUGGUGAAAUCAUGCUAUGUUACUGGAUCUGGAUGUAUCUGCUGAUUAAUCAUAUGGUUUAGUGACAGUGUAAUGCGGGUAUGGUCAAUAAUGAAACCAAAGGGUUCCUGAAGAGCAAGCAGAUAGGCUAUUGGAUCAAAUCUCUCUGCCUCUGAGGUGGUGAAAUCAAGCUUUGUCACUGGAUCUGGAUUUAUCUUCUGAUUACAUGGCCAAGACUGAACUUGCAGAAUCUGUCUGGCUCAGGAAUCUUACUUACACGGAUGAUACUCUCUAGAUGGCUAACAUGGUAGCUGUAACUGAAGGAAAUUUUUGGGGAUAUCUAAAAACGGCAACGCAAGAAGCUCUUUUAUUUGUCCUGUUCCAGGUAAAAAUGAUGUGGAUCCACCCUGCCUUGAUUGCUGCUGCCUCUGGUGCGUAAUAUCAAAAUUUUAGAGAUCAUCAGAGUGACAGUGUAAUGCGUGUAUGGUCAAUAGUGAAACCAAAGGGUUGUUGCAAGCGUAGUGUUGCUCUUGGACAAGCAGAUAGGCCAUUGGAUCAAAUCACCCUGUCUCUGAGAUGGUGAAAUCAUGCUCUGUUACUGGAUCUGGAAUUAUCAGCUGAUUAUAUGGCCAAGUCUGAACUCGCAGAAUCUGCCUGGCUCAGGACUCUCACUUACACGGCUUGGGCCACCAAAGACACUCUCGAUGGCAAACACGGUAGUUGUAACUAAAGGAGAUUUCAGGGGAAAUCUACAAAAGGCAACUCAAGAAGCUCUUUAAUGUGUCCAGUUCCAGGUAAAAUUGAUGUGGAUCCACCCUGCCUUUGCUGCUGCCUCUGGUGCUUAAUAUCAAAGUUUUCAGAGAUCAUCAAAGUGACAGUGUAUUGGGUGUAUGGUCAGUAAUGAAACCAAAGGGUUCCUGAAGAGCAAGCAGAUAGGCCAUUGGAUCAAAUCUCAUUGCCUUAGAGAUGGUGAAAUCAUUAUCUGUUACUCGAUCUCGAUGUAUCUGCUGAUUAUAUGGCCAAGUCUGAAUUUGCAGAACCUGCCUCGCUCAGGACACUUACACGGCUUGGGCAACCAAAGACACUCUCCCGAUGGUAAACAUGGUAGCUGUAACUGAAGGAAAUUUUGGGGGAUAUCUAAAAACGUCAACUCAAGAACCCCCUUAUGCUAAUGAGAAUUUCAAGCUUCCAACAAUUAACCUAAUUCUCAAGGAGAGAGUUGGGUUAAAGGGAAGUUAGCUCUUAAAAUCUCUUGUCCUAGUUCCAAUCACGGCUCCAAUCACUAGAUCAAAGUCGGCUCAUAUCGUCUUGGUAUCAGAGCAAGCCGGUUCAAUCGGAGAAGGUGCGAUGACCACAUCACAAUUUGAGGAAGUUAAGAAGAUGUUCGAACGUCUACACGCUGACCUGGGUGAACUCCACCAGACUUCAAACUCACACCAAGCCGCCCUUGAGUCCAUAAAAGCGGACCAACAGGAGGAGCGAGAGCAAAAUAAGUAAAGGAUGGAAGAAGUUCGUGAAGAGCGAACCUAGAUCAGGGAAGCUAUAAAAGCCGAUAAGCAAGAAGCCUUGGGUAAAAUUCGUUUUUUGGCCUCGGUGGUGGGAGUGGAAGCAGAGGAGGUUGAAAAAGACACAUCAUCGGUUUCUAAAGCAGAAAAAAAUAACAACACUAACGGAGGAGAGGGUAAAGGCACUUCCUCUGGUGGUCCUUGGGCACAACGAUCUAUGGGAAGAGAACAUGGACACCGAUUGCAAGAUGGAGGUGGAGAAUGGUCGGUGAGGCCCAUUGGGGAACUUCCACAAGAGGAGAGAUCGACUCACAUGACGGGAGACCUUAGGGAACACAAGGGGGCUGUUUGGAAAAGUGGAGCUGAAGGAAGAGAGAGUGGAGGAAGGGAGGCUGAGAGAAUCAUAGUUCCACCAUCUAAGAUGGAAUUUCCGGGAUAUGAUGGCUCAACGAAUGCUGUUGAGUGGCUGCAGAAGUGUGAAGACUACUUUGAGGAUCAAGGAAUAUACAACGAUGAUGCGAAAGUGCGACAAGCAACCUUUGUGUUGACGGAUAAGGCACAUCAUUGGUAUAUCAAUUUGUGAAGGUUAAUUACACAUCGACUGGGUUGGAGAGAGAGUUUAAGAAAAUCUGCAAAAGUAGAUUUGGCAGAGCAGAUGCAGUAAAUCUUAUGGGUGAGCUAAGUAACCUACGACACAUAGGAACAGUAGAUGAGUAUUGUGAGCAGUUUGAGGAAUGUUUGGUAAGGCGAACGAAGCUAUCAGGUGAUCAACAGUUAUGACAGUUCUGUGUGGGUUUAACUGAUUCUUUGAGAAAAGAAGUUGAGUAUUUGAGGCCAGAGACAAUAUUUGAAGCAAUGGAAUAUGCCCAAGAUAAUGAAUACAAGAUUGAUAAUGACAAGCGGACACAGACGUUUGGAGGACAUUUGGCACCAAUAGCUAAACACUCGAUCUUGUUCCCUAGGACGGGAAAUCGUGAGAGCUCCAAGGGUGGGAAAGACAAGGAAGCUCAGUUUCCCCAACAAACAGAAGAGAAACCGGCUCCUCAACAACUAUUUUUGAAGAAAUUGACCACCGCAUAAAUGGAAGAGCAACGAGCAAAAGGUCUCUGCUUCAACUGUGAUGAAUUCUUCACCCGAGGGCAUGUUUGCAAACCAGUCCUUUUUCAGAUCACGGUAGUCAAUGAUGGUGCUAAUCAAGACGAUGAACCAAUUGAAGAGGAGGACAUGCCAUGAGCUGAAGCUUGAGGACAAGCUUCAAGUGGAAGAGGGGAGUAAUGAUAUGAUUAUUAGGUUUUGAUAUGAUUAUUAGAAUUAUGGUAUUAUUCUUUUUUAAUUAGAUUUAAGGUUUAUAUAAUUUACUUUUAAUAGAGAGAUAGGUCGGUGUAAGGUUUUAUAUAAGAACCCUCUUAUGCUAAUGAGAAUUUCAAGCUUCCAACAAUUAACCUAAUUCUCGAUGAGAGAGUUGGGUUAAAGGGAAGUUAGCUCUUAAAAUCUCUUGUUCUAGUUCCAAUCACGACUCCAAUCACUAGAUCAAAGUCGGCUCAUAUCAAAAUUUUAGAGAUCAUCAAAGUGACAGUGUAAUGCGUGUGUGGUCAAUAGUGAAACCAAAGGGUUCCAGAAGAGCAAGCAGGUUUCUUUCUUGGGUCUUUUUUAUGCUCCUAUUUCGUAGUUGUAGUAUAAUCUUCUUCUUUUUUUCUCUGUUAACACUUUCUUACUUUGAUUCAAAUCCCCCUGCUUCUGAGUCGGUGAAAUCAUGCUCUGUUACCGGAUCCGGAUUUAUCAGCCUAUUUAUAUGGUCGAGGAAACAAGCUUUUACAAACCUGAUAUCACUACCCUGAUUGAGGAAUUGACUGAUUGAAGAAAUUGUUGAUGAUGGUGUUAUUACCAUUGAAGACUUGAAUACCACACUCAUGCUUGUCAAGAUAGAUGGUGGUUUUACCUAUAACACAACGUCUUUGGUCCAUCGACAGAGAGUCUAAUCCCUGCAGAGCAUUAAGAAUAUUCUUAUCAAUGGAAGUGACACAUGGGCGCCUACUCUUCCUGUUAAGAGAGUCGUGGUUAAUUUUUACUCUCCCAACAUUGCAGAAGAAUUGCAUGUUGGUCAUCUAAGAUCACCUAUCAUCGGUGGUGACACGAUUACACAGUAAAGGUAUUGGCGAGCAUGACCACUUUGAUAAGUAAUUCAAAGAAGGAUGGCUUCCAGCCAAUGAUUUAAUUUACCCUAGAGCGAGGCAUGUUUGUUUUGGUGUUUUUCCUUGGAGGAGAUGGCAAAGAAGCGGUCCUGAAAUCUGUAUACUGAAACAGUCAGCCUAAGUUCAUUUGCUAGAUGUGGCCAAGACAUAGUAUAUAUAACCUUGUGUCAGAAUGGUUUUGGAUUUGUUGAAAUAAGCUCGUGAGCCCAAUAAACUCCGUUAAGAAAAAUU